GGAAUCUUAGACAAUGGGCGCAAGCCUGAUCUAGCCAUGCCGCGUGAGUGAUGAAGGCCUUAGGGUUGUAAAGCUCUUUUACCCGGGAUGAUAAUGACAGUCCCGGGAGCAUAAGCUCCGGCUAACUCCGUUCCCGCAGCCGCGGUAAUACGGAGGGAGCUAGCGUUGUUCGGAAUUACUGGGCGUAAAGCGCACGUAGGCGGCUUUGUAAGUUAGAGGUGAAAGCCUGGAGCUCAACUCCAGAAUUGCCUUUAAGACUGCAUCGCUUGAAUCCAGGAGAGGUGAGUGGAAUUCCGAGUGUAGAGGUGAAAUUCGUAGAUAUUCGGAAGAACACCAGUGGCGAAGGCGGCUCACUGGACUGGUAUUGACGCUGAGGUGCGAAAGCGUGGGGAGCA
rnacentral:rRNA from 1 species